rnacentral:rRNA from 1 species
GAUGAACGCUGGCGGCGUGCCUAAUACAUGCAAGUCGAGCGAACAGACGAGGAGCUUGCUCCUCUGACGUUAGCGGCGGACGGGUGAGUAACACGUGGAUAACCUACCUAUAAGACUGGGAUAACUUCGGGAAACCGGAGCUAAUACCGGAUAAUAUAUUGAACCGCAUGGUUCAAUAGUGAAAGACGGUUUUGCUGUCACUUAUAGAUGGAUCCGCGCCGCAUUAGCUAGUUGGUAAGGUAACGGCUUACCAAGGCAACGAUGCGUAGCCGACCUGAGAGGGGGAUCGGCCACACUGGAACUGAGACACGGUCCAGACUCCUACGGGAGGCAGCAGUAGGGAAUCGUCCGCAAUGGGCGAAAGCCUGACGGAGCAACGCCGCGUGAGUGAUGAAGGUCUUCGGAUCGUAAAACUCUGUUAUUAGGGAAGAACAAAUGUGUAAGUAACUAUGCACGUCUUGACGGUACCUAAUCAGAAAGCCACGGCUAACUACGUG